CCCUAUUAUAAUUAUGAAGAGUUUUUAAGGUAGUAGUUAUUAAAUUAAUUAAACUUAAAGAAUUUGGCGGUGGUUAUUCAAAUUAGAGGAAUAUGUUUUAUAAAUGAUAUUCCACAAAUAUCUUACUUUAUUUUUAUUUUUGUAUAUCUCCGUCUAAAAAAGUUUUUUAGAAAUAUAUUUUAGAUAACUAAAAGGAUUGAAGUCAGGUCAAGGUGCAGAUUAUAUUAAAGUGAAAAUGUAUUACAAUAAAAUUAUUUAUGGAUUUAUUUUGGAAAAAAUAUUUAAAUUGGAUUUAAUAGUAAAAAGAUUUAUAUAAAAAUUAAUUGAAUUUUGUAAAUGAACAUGCACACAUCGCCC
rnacentral:rRNA from 1 species